GCGGGAAUAGCUCAGUUGGUAGAGCGUAACCUUGCCAAGGUUAAGGUCACGAGUUCGAAACUCGUUUCUCGCU
rnacentral:tRNA from 1 species